rnacentral:siRNA from 1 species
AUGCGGUGGGUUGUUGUCCGUGGA